ensembl:lncRNA
UAUUAAUAAUAACAGUAUCUCUUUUAAUGAACAUUGCAGAUACAUAAUAGAAAAUAAAUCAGAAAACAGGAGAGACGUCGUCUCAAGAGUCGUGAAAGUGCCUUGAAUAAUUCUGUGCUAUAUAUUGUCAUUGUUACUCAUCAAUCGUUAUCACCUUUCCCAUCAAAGCCACGUCGCCAGAAAGUCGUCAUGAAACAAAAGUGUGUGUGUCGUUCUGCUUAGAAAACGUUUGUAUUCACAGAGCCUCCCAAAGCAGCAGGACUCCUGUCGAAAUCUCAUCGAUUCCUCGCGUUUGAAACCUCCAGUCAGGAUUAGGAUUUCUGCUUUGAGAGGCCUUGUGAUUAAUGACCACUGGUUUCAUGAAUAUGGCUCGAUUGUCUUCAUCUUAAUCAUGUUAUUGUCUUGAUUAUAUUUACACAAUGCCUUAUCAAAGAGCACAGCAAACUGAUGGUGCUCUUAAUCCAUGUUACUUUUCAUACGGGGGGGGGGGGGGGGUGGUGGUGGUGGUGGAUAAAUAUAGGCCUGGUUUAAAUGAUCUAUUUGAAAAAUCUCCAAUAACACUGAAUUCCCCCAAAAAAUCCAGGCCCGGUUUGAAAUAUUCACCGAAAGUAGAGUUAAAACGAAGAUUUGAAGGAGAUAAAAAGGGUGGGGGAAGAAACACAAGUUGUCAUUUAUUGUUUACACGUUCAACACUUUGCAUAUUUUAUGGCACUAAAUGAAACAUCUAUGAGAUGUUGCAGGUAUUUUUAGUAUGAGGUUAGUUUCUCGAAAACAAAAAAAAACCCAAAUGACUUGGCACAGCUGCAGGAGGAUCUGUGAGAAUAGCUCUUAUUUGGAUGAAUCACGAUGGGGGGAAAAAGAAAGACCAUUUCGUAAAUGGUUUACUUUAGCUUGCUUUGGUCUAAAGUAGCAUGUCUGUUGUAGUUACAUAUACACCAGGAUUUAAUUUGCAUUUCUAACAACAUUCUCGUCACUCUUUAGCAUAUUUGGAAGGGUUUCAUUCUAAAAGGCUUUGAAGAAAAUACACCUCAUGUUGAUUAUUGGUCAG